ensembl:lncRNA
CUUGUUUUCAGAACUCCCCCUUUCCCCGCACCCCUCUGGCCACCCACGUGGUCCAAACAGUCCUGUCACAGAGAGGUGAAGAAGUCCUCUUAUGUCCUGCGCCUCCUUUGGACAGAACUGGUGCAGACCACAUUCAUCAAGCAGAAAAACCUCGGCUAGGAGAUCCUCGAAACACACAGAGAAAGGGCCUGGUGGCGCACACCCGUGAUCCCAGCACUCUUCGAAGCUGAGGGAGGAGGAUCUCAGAUAACACACAAAGAAAAAAGCCUCACUUGGAAAGCUUUUGGGUUCUAUCACCAGAACCCACGGCCAAAUGACCUCCCUGGAUCACAAGGUCCCCGGCUCUAAGGGCGAGACUGUAUGUCACGCAGCCAGUCACUCCACAGCAAGUCUGCAUCCAUCUCCACUGCAGGCUAUGCUCCUCCAGUCCUGCAGUGUGGCGUCCACGCCCGGCACAGAGGUCAUGGCCAGGGCUUCAUGGGGCCCGGGAGGAAGACUGCAGGCUCGCCUUUAGGGUGACCUGUCCGGGGGCUGCUGUCAUGCUGGGGACGCUGAGUUACUCACCAGGAAGUCACCUCUGCGGGACUCAGACUGCUCAGGGAGGGCCUGGGCCUGGCCUCCGAUGGCAGCUGCCCCGAGCACACUUCCGGGAAGCCACUCCUGGGACAUCCUUACUUCCUGCUCUCUGCCCAGAGUCUGGAAGGAAGAUGAGGCCUCCUCGGUGGCAGCAUCCAGCUGUGCCUCCCUCUUUCCUGGCCUUCAGCCUGCCUCACCCCUUCCACAGACUCUUCCCUCCUCCGGCCUGGGGUCUUGGUUCCCAGAGCGGGAAGGACCCGGCCCUGCCCACCAGCCUCCUGGCUCCACACCCAUCGCUGGGUCUUCCGCAGAUUGUCUUCAUCCCCUGGCACAAUUGGAGUUCCAGAGAGAGCAAACCGUCUGGGGAGCACUGCGUGGAGCCCCGGACUUCAGGCCCCGGCAAAGGGGAGUGCUCAUUGUGACUUCUGGAAAUGUGGCAGCCCCUUGGCAGAUGUGAGGCAACCCAUAGAAGACUCAAUGACUUACCUGAGGAGAGAAAAUGCCUGGUAACCCAAUGAGACUGUGAGUGAGUCUUCAACUUGAGACUUUUUACCUCCAACUUCCUGUUUUGUGACAUAAACAUCCCAUAGCUUAGGCUACUAUGAAUCAGGUCUUGUUACUUGCAGUCAAAUAAAUCCUCAAUUAUAUAGAGGCUUCCAAAAUGAGGACAAUUUUCCUUCUCACUGCAGUUAUGAAGCUCUGACAACCACCACACGAAGAUGGCAGAUAGGGCUCCCCCAGCCCUGGCCCAUAAAACCUUCUCCCCCUGGCCUUUUCUUCCCCACAACGACCUGCUCCUGACUGGAAGGAGAAAUGUGCUGCUCUACUCUCAUGGCCCCAGACGUCACCCACUGCCUCACGGCCCUUCCACCUGGCCAGACCUUGCUCACGGAGGUGCACGGAGGCCGGGCCGGUUGGGGAAGCUGAACUCGUCAAAGCCCAGAGUCAGACUCCCCUUGGCAACUGCGAAGCUAAGCUGUCACCAGCCCUGUCAACAGUGCAGAAAGAGCUGUCUACUGCCAGACCUCACGAGUCACAGUCUAAACAUCCUGCAGUCCCUCCCGGCAGGUCUGACCCGGCCCGGGCUCAGGGAGAGGGCUUCCCACCCAGCACCACUUCAGCACAACAGCCUCUGGGCUCUGGGCUGGCUGAUCUCAGGCUGCCCAAGUGGCCGUGUUAUUGGCGACCGUGAUUCAUUCCAUCUGGACGGUGUGCAGAGGGGUGCUGAGGACCAGACGCCAAGCAGGCCGGCCCGGUUGAGCGCUGCCUGGCUGUACACCAUGCAGUGUCCCCAACCCUGGCGCAACGUCUCCGCCUCCGGGUGCCCCUGCCUGAACAGGCAAACCUCAGAGCACAUAGCCCACUGCUCUACCCAGCCGGGUUUGCCGGGUGCUGAGGGAGAAGAGGGAAGAGAAGAUGGUUCGUUUUCAGGGAUAAACGUGAG